rnacentral:lncRNA from 1 species
UUCCCUGACUGGUGUAUCUUAGUUUUUCACUUCUCUUCUUGUCUUUCAGAGUACAGAGCCUUUCUUGAGUGUGUAUUUUAAAUGUGUGGAGAGGAAAAAGCUACCCAGGACACACUGAUUUUGUCCCAAGCCAAAAUGUGGGGCUUUUUCUGCUCUGCUUGGAUUGGAUUACACUAUUCCUAUCAGUAUGGCAUCAGUGUACCAUAAACACCAUGACUGACAGCUGUCUUUUCUCAUGGCACUCAGUGGGUCUCAGCCUCCUUCUGCUCCUGCCUUGCUGCGCAGCAUGGGAACAUGGUCCCAAGUGCCUGUGACUCCUCCCAGCUGGCCAUGUGGUUCUCUGCAGGUAGGUUUGGGUUUAUCUGGUGGGCUUCUGGUGCUGAGGAACACUUGCUGUAGGAGGGGAGUGAUGCAUGCCCAGCAGUGUUUUUGGAGCAGAGGUUCUUCACACAGGCAUUUUGCUCCAUUACCCCUCUGCAAAUACAGUGCCUGGUAG